rnacentral:rRNA from 1 species
GUCGAACGAAGUAGCAAUACUUAGUGGCAGACGGGUGAGUAACAUGUAGGUAUCUUCCCAUUGGUGAGGAAUAACACGAGGAAACUUGUGCUAAUACCUCAUAAGUCUUUACGGAGAAAGCUUUAUGCGCCGAUGGAUGAGCCUGCACUUGAUUAGUUUGUUGGUAGGGUAAUGGCCUACCAAGACAAUGAUCAAUAGCUGAUUUGAGAGGAUGAUCAGCCACAUUGGGACUGAGACACGGCCCAAACUCCUACGGGAGGCAGCAGUAGGGAAUCUUGCACAAUGGGGGAAACCCUGAUGCAGCGAUGCCGCGUGAGUGAAGAAGGCCUUUGGGUUGUAAAGCUCUUUCGUCGGGGAAGAAAAUGACUGUACCCGAAUAAGAAGGUCCGGUUAACUUCGUGCCAGCAGCCGCGGUAAUACGAAGGGACCUAGCGUAGUUCGGAAUUACUGGGCUUAAAGAGUUCGUAGGUGGUUAAAAAAGCUGGUGGUGAAAUCCCAGAGCUUAACUCUGGAACUGCCAUCAAAACUUUUUAGCUAGAGUAUGAUAGAGGAAAGCAGAAUUUCUAGUGUAGAGGUGAAAUUCGUAGAUAUUAGAAAGAAUACCAAUUGCGAAGGCAGCUUUCUGGAUCACUACUGACACUGAGGAACGAAAGCAUGGGUAGCGAAGAGGAUUAGAUACCCUCGUAGUCCAUGCCGUAUACGAUGUGUGUUAGACGUUGGAAAUUUAUUUUCUGUGUCGCAGCGAAAGCAAUAAACACACCGCCUGGGGAGUACGACCGCAAGGUUAAAACUCAAAUGAAUUGACGGGGACCCGCACAAGUAGUGGAGCAUGUGGUUUAAUUCGAAGAUACGCGCAGAACCUUACCAACACUUGACAUGUUCGUCGCGACUUUAAGAGAUUAAAGUUUUCGGUU